AGGAUGUUUUUCUUGUGGGAGCCU
rnacentral:siRNA from 1 species